UUGAUCCUGGCUCAGGACGAACGCUGGCGGCGUGCUUAACACAUGCAAGUCGAACGAUGAAGAGGAGCUUGCUCCUUGGAUUAGUGGCGAACGGGUGAGUAACACGUGAGUAACCUGCCCUUGACUCUGGGAUAAGCACUGGAAACGGUGUCUAAUACCGGAUACGAGCUUCAGCCGCAUGGCUAGGAGCUGGAAAGAAUUUUGGUCAAGGAUGGACUCGCGGCCUAUCAGCUAGUUGGUGAGGUAACGGCCCACCAAGGCGACGACGGGUAGCCGGCCUGAGAGGGUGACCGGCCACACUGGGACUGAGACACGGCCCAGACUCCUACGGGAGGCAGCAGUGGGGAAUAUUGCACAAUGGGCGAAAGCCUGAUGCAGCAACGCCGCGUGAGGGACGACGGCCUUCGGGUUGUAAACCUCUUUUAGUAGGGAAGAAGCGAAAGUGACGGUACCUGCAGAAAAAGCACCGGCUAACUACGUGCCAGCAGCCGCGGUAAUACGUAGGGUGCAAGCGUUGUCCGGAAUUAUUGGGCGUAAAGAGCUCGUAGGCGGUUUGUCGCGUCUGCUGUGAAAACCCGAGGCUCAACCUCGGGCCUGCAGUGGGUACGGGCAGACUAGAGUGCGGUAGGGGAGAUUGGAAUUCCUGGUGUAGCGGUGGAAUGCGCAGAUAUCAGGAGGAACACCGAUGGCGAAGGCAGAUCUCUGGGCCGUUACUGACGCUGAGGAGCGAAAGCAUGGGGAGCGAACAGGAUUAGAUACCCUGGUAGUCCAUGCCGUAAACGUUGGGAACUAGAUGUAGGGGCCAUUCCACGGUUUCUGUGUCGCAGCUAACGCAUUAAGUUCCCCGCCUGGGGAGUACGGCCGCAAGGCUAAAACUCAAAGGAAUUGACGGG
rnacentral:rRNA from 1 species